rnacentral:lncRNA from 1 species
CAAUGGUGACCCAGCUUUGCCUUAUGGAUUCCCAGAGGAAUGAAUUUCUGGCCUCAAGGAUGUCAGGGGAUUCUGGGAUGCUUGAAGAUUACAGUACCCCUCAGGCGAAAGACCUGCAGUAUGCACCUGCCAAUCACGCUUCCGCCAUAACUCUCCCAAACCAUGGGCUCUGACUGGUCUGGGGUGACCUUCAGCAAGGACCCCCUUCCUCUUUACUCCCGGACAUCCACUGUUCCAAAAAGGCACAAGGAAAGAAACGUGGAAGAGCAAAACAAGUCCUUUUAUAUCCAGGAUUGGUGCCUGGCUUCUCUGGCUCAUUGAGUUCUUUUCCUGGUUUAUUUCCUGGUUCCUCUUAAUCUUUGAGAAUGUACUUCUUGGGCAGCCAUUUAAAGGAAAAGACUGUGACUGUGGUGUCUCUCCACCACCCUGCUUUCUCAAGCCUAGGAGUCUUAGGAAUGAUAAUAAAAAGGGACCCUGUCCGUCUGAGAAGGGGGCAGAAGCAGCAGGAAGUGGAGCAGGCAGCGCUGAGACAGAUCCCUUUUGCUGUGAGCAACAUUGGUCAGCACGAUAAUUGGGAGCAGAAUGCCAGCUGCCUCAGCAGCCAUGCCAGACGGGAGAGCAAACACCGAAAUCCUGUUGGCAAACCCAGCAGGGCCGUCGCAACAUGGCCAAAGCAAAUAGGGGCUGAGGCCGGCCCACUGCAAUGGACUCUCACUUCCCCCUUGGAUCCGGCAGAGAGAGAGACUGAGCCAGCUAAGCCCACGUAUAGGGAAUCAAGUAGCCAUGGGGAUGCUCAUACCCAUCCCUGGGCUGGGGUCCGAGCUGGACCCUUGCUCUCCUUGCCAUGGUCUUUCAUUUGGCACAGACUGAGGAGAGUCUGAUAAUGAUACAGCAUUUUCACGGCUAUUCCUUUGUUUAUUCUUCAGCAGUCCUGUGAGAUCAGUAUUAUCCCCAUCUUCCAGAUGAGAAAACUGAGGCCAGGGGAGAUCAAAGACACAGAGCCAGGACUUAGUCUCGGGGCCUCUGCCUCACUGUCUGCUGCACUUCUCAUUCCCUCCCCCCAUGUCAAUUCCCACAGUCCCUUCCUGGCAGAGCUCCCACAGUCUAAAGGGGACUUGAGUUCUUUCCAUUUCAUAGCUGAGAAGCAGAGGCUCAAAGGUGGGUUGGGGGGGGGUAUUUUUGUUUUUAGACCAAGACACAGCAGUUGACAUCCGUGAUUCUGUCUGCCACACCCACCAGCACAACCGGAG